UACGUAGGGAGCAAGCGUUGUCCGGAAUCAUUGGGCGUAAAGCGUGCGUAGGUGGUUUGUUAAGUCUGUUGUGAAAGCCCCGGGCUCAACCUGGGAAUGGCAAUGGAUACUGGCAAGCUAGAGUGCGGUAGAGGGUAGUGGAAUUCCCGGUGUAGCGGUGAAAUGCGUAGAGAUCGGGAGGAACACCAGUGGCGAAGGCGGCUACCUGGACCAGCACUGACACUGAGGCACGAAAGCGUGGGGAGCAAACAGG
rnacentral:rRNA from 1 species